ACAGAAUAUUGGCAAACUUAUGGAAACAUAAUGUACGCAAAGCUAAGUGCCUAAAGGAUUUAAGUCCUAUGGUUGACUAGUUGCUGAU
rnacentral:ncRNA from 1 species